GACGUAGGGCGCGAGCGUUGUCCGGAUUUAUUGGGCGUAAAGAGCUCGUAGGCGGCUUGUCGCGUCGACUGUGAAACCCGCGGCUCAACUGUGGGCUUGCAGUCGAUACGGGCAGGCUAGAGUUCGGUAGGGGAGACUGGAAUUCCUGGUGUAGCGGUGAAAUGCGUAGAUAUCGUAAGGAAGACCAGUGGCGAAGGCGGGUCGCUGGACAGUUC
rnacentral:rRNA from 1 species